CGGGGGAGCAAGCGUUGUUCGGAUUUACUGGGCGUAAAGGGCGCGUAGGCGGUCAGCACAAGUCAGUUGUGAAAUCUCCGGGCUUAACUCGGAAAGGUCAACUGAUACUGUGCGACUAGAGUGCAGAAGGGGCAACUGGAAUUCUCGGUGUAGCGGUGAAAUGCGUAGAUAUCGAGAGGAACACCUGCGGCGAAGGCGGGUUGCUGGGCUGACACUGACGCUGAUGCGCGAAAGCCAGGGGAGCGAACGGGAUUAGAUACCCCGGUAGUCCUGGCCUUAAACGAUGGAUGCUUGGUGUCUGGAGUUUUAUAGUCUCCGGGUGCCGUAGCUAACGCGUUAAGCAUCCCGCCUGGGGAGUACGGUCGCAAGACUG
rnacentral:rRNA from 1 species